AACAGUGCGCAGAAGCAAGCUCUGCUGGAUAUGGAGGCCACAGAUUGAAGCCUCAUGAGCCAGGAGGAGUUUUCCCUGGUGUAAUCUAGAGUCAGACUACAGAGAGAAGUUGCAGCAUAGAGAAGAAGCAAAGAUUAUA